GCCCGCGUGGCGGAAUGGUAGACGCUGCGGACUUAAAAUCCGUUGUCCUUUAGGACGUGCCAGUUCAAGUCUGGCCGCGGGCACCA
rnacentral:tRNA from 1 species